GACGCUUCCCUCCCACCGGGGGUCAACGGCCUUUUCCGGCCCAAACCCGCUCCUCGGCUCAUGAAUAGUCAACGAGGCCUUUCUGGGCGGGACCAGAGGUUUCCUCAUGAAUAAUUCAUGACCCGUCCACGGCUAGCCUGGGCGACCGGCCUCGCUAGACUUCAUGAAUAUGCAAAGCAGGGGCGAACGGCGGCUAGCCGGCCCCUAGCCCGCCCGGCCCCUCAGCAGCCGCCUCUCAGCCACGGGCUGCACACUGACCCGACGCGACCUUCGGUCAGGGGCCGCCAGCCUGGGCCACCUAUACAACGACAGCCUGCUCCGGGGCUUCCUGAGGAGGUGCCUGCCCCGCCGAGGUUCAACAGCUUUGGAGAGCAGGACAUCUUUUCCUCUCAGCCUGGCCCUCUGCAAUGGAGGCCAUAAAUAGGCCAGUAGUGGAAGCUACAGAACACGUGAGCAUGGCAGGGGCUGAGCUCCAUUUCAAGAUAUGGGUAAGAGGAGGGAUGCUGUUGCCUUGGAGCUGCCAGGCUGCAUGGCAGACAAGCAGGAUUCCUGCUGCCUCCCAUGGAGACUAUACUGGAACGCAGGUCUUGCCCUGUCAUCCAGGCUGGAGUGCAAUGGAUCUUGGAUCACUGCAACCUCCACCUUCCAGGCUCAAGUGAUCCUCCUGCCUCAACCUCCCAAGUAGCUGGGACUACAGUUCAAGGAAAGAAGCAAACUUAUUAUUUAAGAGCAAUGCAAAAUGAAAGCCAAGGCCAAGGACUUACUUUCCCGGAUCUGGCAUCUGAGUGCACAGCAACCGCAGAGACUGAAAACUCCUCCGAAUAGAAUGAAUGUUUGCCAUCCCCAUAAACACAACUUCACAGUUUGGGUAAUACUCUGGAGAGAGUAACAAUAAAGAGAACACAAAUACGUUGAACUUAAAGCCCACAUGGCCAAAUUUAAAAGCAAACUGGCUAUAAAACAAACCCACUGCAGCUUCUGAUUAACGAAACUGAAAUGUUUUGAAAUGCUUAACUAUUAGCCCAAUCCUUUAUAAUAAGAGGAACACACUGAAUUUUAGCUAUCUUUUCAAAAAGCGUGAAAAGGGAAGGUUAGAUUUGUAAAGAAGAUACUGACAUAAAAUAAAAGCUAUUAUUUUUUAAAAGAAAGGCC
rnacentral:lncRNA from 10 species